rnacentral:rRNA from 1 species
UACGUAGGGCGCAAGCGUUAUCCGGAAUUAUUGGGCGUAAAGAGCUCGUAGGCGGUGUGUCACGUCGGCCGUGAAAACUUGCAGCUUAACUGUGGGCGUGCGGUCGAUACGGGCAUCACUGGAGUUCGGCAGGGGAGACUGGAAUUCCUGGUGUAGCGGUGAAAUGCGCAGAUAUCAGGAGGAACACCGGUGGCGAAGGCGGGUCUCUGGGCCGAUACUGACGCUGAGGAGCGAAAGCGUGGGGAGCAAACAGG